rnacentral:rRNA from 1 species
UACGAAGGGGGCUAGCGUUGCUCGGAAUCACUGGGCGUAAAGCGCAUGUAGGCGGCAGCGCAAGUCGGGCGUGAAAUCCCACGGCUCAACCGUGGAAGUGCACUCGAAACUGCGCAGCUAGAGUCCUGGAGAGGAAGGUGGAAUGCUUGGUGUAGAGGUGAAAUUCGUAGAUAUCAAGCGGAACACCGGUGGCGAAGGCGGCCUUCUGGACAGUGACUGACGCUG